UGGGGGAUAUUGCACAAUGGGGGGAACCCUGAUGCAGCGACGCCGCGUGAGUGAAGGAGUACUCCGGUAUGUAAAGCUCUAUCAGCAGGGAAGAAGCAGGACGGUACCUGACCAAGAAGCCCCGGCUAACUACGUGCCAGCAGCCGCGGUAAUACGUAGGGGGCGAGCGUUAUCCGGAUUCACUGGGUGUAAAGGGAGCGUAGACGGCAUGGCAAGUCUGGAGUGAAAGCCCGGGGCCCAACCCCGGGACUGCUCUGGAAACUGGUAUGCUAGAGUGCUGGAGAGGUAAGUGGAAUUCCUAGUGUAGCGGUGAAAUGCGUAGAUAUUAGGAGGAACACCAGUGGCGAAGGCGGCUUACUGGACAGUGACUGACGUUGAGGCUCGAAAGCGUGGGGAGCAAACAGG
rnacentral:rRNA from 1 species